rnacentral:lncRNA from 1 species
CUUCAUCAGAGGGUAGAGAUCACAGAAAAAGUGGGGGAUCCUGUUAUCUGCACAGAAGAUCAAUUGGCCCAUGAGGAAGAUGAGGAAAUUGAAAAUCAGAGGGGUUUGUGACAUGCUCAAUGUCACCGAGUUGUAAGAGGAGGGAAGAGAGUCCUUGAAGAUACAGCACAUCUGAGGAUGGCAUAUGGAAGAGGCACUAUGAAGGGAAAGAAAAGAAAAAAGAAGACUUACAGAGUCAAAGACAAACUUCAAAAUUUGUUCAAUAUUGUGCAAAGGAUCAAAUUUGAGACGGAUGUUCCUCCCUCCAGAAAUUACUGAGAGUGUGUAGGAAUUUUCUGAGGUGGUCAGAAACUGCUAUGUGGUGUGCAGCCCUAAAUGAAGAUACUCACCUUACUGUGGACCCCUGACAGGACUGGAAUGGGCUGAACUUGGC